UACAAACACAAUAAUAAUCAAAUUUAUAUCAUAGAGGGGGCCGGGUUCAUAACAAUGCAAGUUACAAACACAAUAAUAAUCAACUCAAACCAACAAGCUGAAUAGUCCAACAAACAAACACCACACCAUUUGAAACCGCAAAUAAAUUAAACAAGGAAGCAAUUAUAAAAAAAAAGGAAGGAAGGAAGUAAAGCCGGUGCGACGAUGCCGCUUGAGCCUGCAGUGAAAUUAUUAAUUAGCGGGAAAUGAAACAGAUGACCCGGCAUCCGCCUUUGCCUUCUCGGCAUCCUACUUGGCCCGGCACUCUUCUUUGGUCAUACCUAGCUCGCAUACUCUAGCGACGUCGAUGUUCCUCCGCGCAAAUGCCUUCACAAGACCGCAAGCGCAUUUUCCGCGGGAAACCGAAAUGACAUCUCCUAGCCUGCCACAGCACUUUCGAACAUCUUCCUCAGAGGUGGCACCGAAGACUACGGUUCCGAAACAUGAUGGGUCUAAGGAAAGCAACUGCUCAAGACCCGCGGAACAAGCGCCCAGCGGGUCACCGCACUCUUCUCUGGUCACACCUAGCUCGCAUACUGUAGCGACGUCGAUGUUCCUCCGCGCAAAUUCCUUCACAAGACCGCAAGCGCAGUCUCCGCUGGAUUCAGAAAUGAC
rnacentral:lncRNA from 1 species